rnacentral:rRNA from 1 species
AGGAUGAACGCUGGCGGCGUGCCUAACACAUGCAAGUCGAACGUCCUGUCUCGCAAGAGGCAGGGAGUGGCGGACGGGUGAGUACCACGUGGGUCAUCUACCGUGAGGUGAGGAAUACCGGCGAGAAAUCGCCGACAAGACCGCAUAGGCUCGAUGCAAGUCGAGCAAAGCUCUUUCGAGAGAGGGAGCGCCACACGAGGAGCCUGCGCCCGAUUAGCUAGCUGGUGGAGUAACGGUUCACCAGGGCGACGAUCGGUAGCUGGUCUGAGAGGACGAUCAGCCACACUGGGAUUGAGAACGGCCCAGACUCCGUACGGGGGGCAGCAGUGAGGAAUUUUCCGCAAUGGAGGCAACUCUGACGGAGCAACGCCGCGUGCAGGAUGAAGGUUUUCGGAUCGUAAACUGCUUUUCGCGGGGACGAGCGAAGGACGGUACCCGAGGAAGAACGCCCCGGCUAACUACGUGCCAGCAGCCGC